rnacentral:rRNA from 1 species
GACGAACGCUGGCGGCGUGCCUAAUACAUGCAAGUAGAACGCUGAAGGCGGAGCUUGCUUCUCUGGAUGAGUUGCGAACGGGUGAGUAACGCGUAGGUAACCUGCCUGGUAGCGGGGGAUAACUAUUGGAAACGAUAGCUAAUACCGCAUAAGAGUAGAUGUUGCAUGACAUUUGCUUAAAAGGUGCAAUUGCUUCACUACCAGAUGGAUCUGCGUUGUAUUAGCUAGUUGGUGGGGUAACGGCUCACCAAGGCGACGAUACAUAGCCGACCUGAGAGGGUGAGCGGCCACACUGGGACGGAGACACGGCCCAGACUACUAGGGGAGGGAGCAGUAGGGAAUCUUCGGCAAUGGACGGAAGUCUGACCGAGCAACGCCGCGUGAGUGAAGAAGGUUUUCGGGUCGUAAAGGUCUGUUGUAAGAGAAGAACAAGUGUGAGAGUGGAAAGUGCACACUGUGACGGUAUCUGACCAGAAAGGGACGGCUAACUACGUG